GACUUCUAUUAAGGAAUCAUAGAAUGGCUUGGGUUGGAAGAGGUCUUCCAAGAUCAUCAAGUUCCAACCCCCCUGCAAUUAUAUAUGUAUAUAUAUACACAUAUAUAUAUUAGUACAUAUCUAAGCUGUUUGUUCUAUCAGCUAACUCAAUCUUAAAAUGAACUUAUUUUACUGAGAACUCUGUAGGCAGUGCCACAAUUUAUCUCAUCCUGCUGUUGCCUUCUAGGCUGUGUAAAAUUGAGCCGGUCCCCCGGGGCAGCCCAGGAGCUGCUGUUCCAACCUAACUCACCCUCCAUGGGCCAGAGCUCUAACUGUAAAUGGAAUCUGCCCCCAGUGCUGUUCCUGGUGUUAAAGCAUCAGAAAAGAGGAUCCCACUGCCCAUGUGUGUAGACACUCACAAAUGGGCUGUGCCCAGGCUCAUGGCUGCAGCACCCUUGGUCCAGUGAGUAAGAAGCAGGAUGUAGAAAUGGCAGAACACAGUCUGGAGUUCUUGCCCCAAACCAAACAUUCCUUUGCUUCUCUGCUUACCUUUGCUCCAGCCAUCAGAGGAGGGAUUUCUUUUGGCUCUUGGCUGGUAGAGCUGCAGUUUUCCUGUGGAACAGGCUGGUGAAGUAUUAAUUCUUCUUGCUGUAUCACAUGGCCUCCAUCCUUUCAGAACUGUCUCCUCCUUUUUCUCCUUCCCACAGGAGAAGAGUGAACACAUGCAUUUCAGUAGUUGACGGAAAGUGAAUUGCAGUGGAAUGAUGAGGGGAAUAGCCCAAGAGACAGCACUGUCUGAAACGUGGAUUUACAGUCUAAGAUUCGUCCGCUGCAAAGUCUGAAAACCUGGAAGAAGUUCAGGGUGAGAAGUUCACUGCUGAGGCACUGAAGUGUGAGUGAAAGCUUCAAAAUGAAUCGAUCUGUCAUAUGGAAUAACGGAAAGGAAUAGAACUGCUUGAAGUCAAUUGUGUAUUUCACGAAAACGCAUCUGUGUUUGCAGAGUCUGCCCACAGCAUCAGCGAGUUGAGCAUCUUCCGGCUUUUAAAAGAGCUGAGCAAACACACUCAUGGGACUUCACCUUUAGCCACCACUCUUUCAAAUGCUGAAAUAAAAUGAGGCGCACCCCUCUUUUUUUUUUUUUCUUUUCACUCUUAGUUUUAUUAUAAAAAUCAACAUUUCAUUUGUUACAACUCAGUUUAUAGUAAUUAUUGGAAAGGAUUUUUGUACAAGGUUUAUAUACACCUCAUAAGUAAAGCACUUUAUUUUACAAAAAAAAAAA